rnacentral:rRNA from 1 species
CCUGUGUGGAUGGGUAGGGGAGCGUCGUGUGCCGGGUGAAGCAGCCGCGGAAGCGAGUUGUGGACGGUUCACGAGUGAGAAUGCAGGCAUGAGUAGCGAUACAAACGUGAGAAACGUUUGCGCCGAUUGACUAAGGGUUCCUGGGUCAAGCUGAUCUGCCCAGGGUAAGUCGGGACCUAAGGCGAGGCCGACAGGCGUAGUCGAUGGAUAACCGGUUGAUAUUCCGGUACCCGCUGUGAAGCGUCAAACAUCGAGCAUCGUGAUGCUAAGGCCGUGAAGCCGUUCCGGACCCUUCGGGGAAAGGAAAGUGGUGGAGCCGCCGAACCAAGCGGUUAGUAGGUGAGUGAUGGGGUGACGCAGGAAGGUAGUCCAUCCCGGGCGGUGGUUGUCCCGGGGUAAGGGUGUAGCCCGUCAUCUAGGUAAAUCCGGGUGACAUGUGGGUGAGACCUGAUGCCGAGCCGAUUGUGGUGAAGUGGAUGAUCCUAUGCUGUCGAGAAAAGCCUCUAGCGAGUUUCAUGGCGGCCCGUACCCUAAACCGACUCAGGUGGUCAGGUAGAGAAUACCGAGGCGUUCGGGUGAACUAUGGUUAAGGAACUCGGCAAAAUGCCCCCGUAACUUCGGGAGAAGGGGGGCCACACCUGGUGAGAACACUUGCUGUUCGAGCUGGGGGUGGCCGCAGAGACCAGCGAGAAGCGACUGUUUACUAAAAACACAGGUCCGUGCGAAGCCGUAAGGCGAUGUAUACGGACUGACGCCUGCCCGGUGCUGGAACGUUAAGGGGACCGGUUAGUCACUCUUCGGGGUGGCGAAGCUGAGAACUUAAGCGCCAGUAAACGGCGGUGGUAACUAUAACCAUCCUAAGGUAGCGAAAUUCCUUGUCGGGUAAGUUCCGACCUGCACGAAUGGCGUAACGACUUCUCGACUGUCUCAACCAUAGGCCCGGUGAAAUUGCACUACGAGUAAAGAUGCUCGUUUCGCGCAGCAGGACGGAAAGACCCCGGGACCUUUACUACAGUUUGAUAUUGGUGUUCGGUUCGGCUUGUGUAGGAUAGCUGGGAGACUUUGAAACUCGCACGCCAGUGUGGGUGGAGUCGUCGUUGAAAUACCAGUCUGGUCGUGCUGGAUGUCUAACCUGGGUCCGUGAUCCGGAUCAGGGACAGUGUCUGAUGGGUAGUUUAACUGGGGCGGUUGCCUCCUAAAGAGUAACGGAGGCGCCCAAAGGUUCCCUCAGCCUGGUUGGCAAUCAGGUGUUGAGUGUAAGUGCACAAGGGAGCUUGACUGUGAGACCGACGGGUCGAGCAGGGACGAAAGUCGGGACUAGUGAUCCGGCGGUGGCUUGUGGAAGCGCCGUCGCUCAACGGAUAAAAGGUACCCCGGGGAUAACAGGCUGAUCUUCCCCAAGAGUCCAUAUCGACGGGAUGGUUUGGCACCUCGAUGUCGGCUCGUCGCAUCCUGGGGCUGGAGUCGGUCCCAAGGGUUGGGCUGUUCGCCCAUUAAAGCGGUACGCGAGCUGGGUUUAGAACGUCGUGAGACAGUUCGGUCCCUAUCCGCUGUGCGCGUAGGAAUAUUGAGAAGGGCUGUCCCUAGUACGAGAGGACCGGGACGGACGAACCUCUGGUGUGCCAGUUGUUCUGCCAAGGGCAUGGCUGGUUGGCUACGUUCGGGAGGGAUAACCGCUGAAAGCAUCUAAGCGGGAAGCCUGCUUCGAGAUGAGUAUUCCCACCUCCUUGA